rnacentral:rRNA from 1 species
UACAGAGGGUGCGAGCGUUGUCCGGAAUCACUGGGCGUAAAGGGCGCGUAGGCGGCGCGGUAAGCGUGCGGUGAAAGCCCGGGGCUCAACCCCGGGUCGGCCGUGCGGACUGCCGGGCUGGUGCACUGUAGAGGCAGGUGGAAUUCCGGGUGUAGCGGUGGAAUGCGUAGAGAUCCGGAAGAACACCGGUGGCGAAGGCGGCCUGCUGGGCAGUGGCUGACGCUGGGGCGCGACAGCGUGGGGAGCAAACAGG